AUCCUGUCUGAAUAUGGGGGGACCAUCCUCCAAGGCUAAAUACUCCUGACUGACCGAUAGUGAACCAGUACCGUGAGGGAAAGGCGAAAAGAACCCCGGCGAGGGGAGUGAAAAAGAACCUGAAACCGUGUACGUACAAGCAGUGGGAGCCUCUUUUAUGGGGUGACUGCGUACCUUUUGUAUAAUGGGUCAGCGACUUAUAUUCUGUAGCAAGGUUAACCGAAUAGGGGAGCCGAAGGGAAACCGAGUCUUAACUGGGCGUUAAGUUGCAGGGUAUAGACCCGAAACCCGGUGAUCUAGCCAUGGGCAGGUUGAAGGUUGGGUAACACUAACUGGAGGACCGAAC
rnacentral:rRNA from 1 species